UCUAUGAACCAGGAAGCAGGCUCUCAGCAGACGCUGAGUCUUCCAGUGCCUUGAUUUUAGAAUUCCUUGACUCCAGAACUAAAGCAAAUGUCUGCAGAAGAGUAUUUGGGAAUCAGUAAAGCAACUAUGGUUUCCUGAGAGACAGAUCCCAGAAAGAAACAGCUCCAGGAAACCAGGAAUCCACCAUUGAGAGAGAUACAGACAGAGCAUGAGCAGGAGAGGAGCAGAGAAAGAGGGAGGCCCAGAAUCUGAAGCAGGAUCCAGACUCUGAUCUGUCAGCACAGAGCUCAACGUGAGUCUCUAACUCAGGAAUCACAAGAUCAAGACCCGAGCAGAAGUUGGAUGCUUAACUGUCUGAGCCACCGAGGCGCUCCAGGAUUCUGUUAUUUUUUAAUACCUGUAGUAUCAGUAUUGAG